UACGUAGGGCGCAAGCGUUGUCCGGAAUUAUUGGGCGUAAAGAGCUCGUAGGCGGCUUGUCACGUCGGGUGUGAAAGCCCGGGGCUUAACCCCGGGUCUGCAUUCGAUACGGGCAGGCUAGAGUGUGGUAGGGGAGAUCGGAAUUCCUGGUGUAGCGGUGAAAUGCGCAGAUAUCAGGAGGAACACCGGUGGCGAAGGCGGGUCUCUGGGCAACAACUGACGCUGAGGAGCGAAAGCGUGGGGAGCGAACAGG
rnacentral:rRNA from 1 species